rnacentral:rRNA from 1 species
CCAAAAGCUGGCGACCGGCGCACGGGUGAGUAACACGUAUCCAACCUGCCGAUAACUCGGGGAUAGCCUUUCGAAAGAAAGAUUAAUACCCGAUGGCAUAAUUAGACCGCAUGGUCUUAUUAUUAAAGAAUUUCGGUUAUCGAUGGGGAUGCGUUCCAUUAGGCAGUUGGUGAGGUAACGGCUCACCAAACCUUCGAUGGAUAGGGGUUCUGAGAGGAAGGUCCCCCACAUUGGAACUGAGACACGGUCCAA